rnacentral:rRNA from 16 species
CGAGGUAGAGCACUCAAUGGGCUAGGGUGGCCCCAUUUCGCCUUACCAACCCCAGGGAAACUCCGAAUACAGGCCUAGAUCGUUUGUACAGACAGACUUUUAGGGUGCUAAGAUCCAAAGUCGAGAGGGAAACAGCCCAGAUCGUACGCUAAGGUCCCUAAGCAAUCACUUAGUGGAAAAGGAAGUGAUCGAGCGAUGACAACCAGGAGGUGGGCUUGGAAGCAGCCAUCCUUUGAAGAAAGCGUAAUAGCUC